rnacentral:lncRNA from 1 species
GCUUCCCAUAGUAGGAAUUGAGUUAACAUUCUGUACAGGUCUAGGACCUUGCAAAGGCAUGGAUGUGUUUUGUGGAGUUGAGUACAUAUAGGACGGUCUAGUUGAAUGAUUCAGAUUGCUAAAAUAUCCGGGAGUUGAUGCCCAAGGUGGAGGCGGAUAAGCAGAGUACUGUGGGAAUUGAGUCUGAGCACGUGGCGGUAAUUGUUGAGGCUGAGGAUGAAGUUCUAGCUGAGUUCUAGGUUGUUGGUUCAGUUCAGUUUGUAAAGGACAUUGUGGAAGCUGUUGCGAGGUAUGCUGAGAUUGUAAUGAUGAUUCUUGGGGAUACUGUGGUUGAGGCCGAGGAUGAGGUUGAUGCAGAGGCUGGGCUUGAGGUUGGGCCUGGGCCUGGGUCUGGAACUGCGCUUGGGUUGGGGUUUGAAAUUGGUGAUGAUAUUGAGGUUGGGACUGAGGUUGGGACUGAGGUUGAAACUGAGGAGGAAACUGAGGUUGCGACUGAGAUUGAGGUUGGGGUUGGGGCUGAGUCUGAGCCCAAGGAGCUACAUAACUGUUAAAGCUCUGAUCUUGAUAUCCAAGAUAAGCUUGAGAUGCAUAUGGAUUCCCUUGCGUGGUUGAGGCAACAGGCUCCUGAUGCGUGCUAUGAUUGGCUGAAGCAGAAUUUUGUGGGGUCUCGGGAUAUAUACUUGAUGACAAGGUCAGGCUCAAGAGAUCAAUUAUAUCUUGUUCUUUCGUGGGCAUAGCAGUUGGAGGCGGAUCUCGAAGAAUCAAUGCAUUGCUUGUGACAGGAUCCAAUGAUUCUCCCGUAGAAUUGCUAUUAUAGGCAGAGACCAUACCUUCACUUGUUUGCGCUGCUGGACUUGUUUUUGAAUGUCUGCAUCAGCACAAGCGACAACUUCAUUAGAGAAGACAGACCCAAAGCUGUAAAUACAUCAUAAAUCGCAGUUAGUACUUUUGACUUCCAAUAACAUUUAAGGGCAACAUAGUGCACUAAGCUCCCGCUAUGUGCGAGGUCCGGGAAGGACCGGACCACAUUGGAUCUUAUGUAUGCAGCCUUACCAUGCAUUUCUGCAAGAGGCUUGCCGUGAUUAAAUCCAAAUAAAAGUCACUAGCCUUUAUAUUGAGAACUACCCACCCCCCUUCCUUUCUUCAACCAUCUGAACCUUUUGGAAAACCAAAACGACAAUUAAGAAGUACAAUAACGGUCACAACUACAUAAAAAUUUCCUUCCUAUGAAAGUAAUAGCCUGAAAAUCUUGAUCUCUGCCAUGCAUCCACAGCUCUGCAUAAGAGCAAUGAGUUGUUUUAUAUUGGAAGUAAAUGCAGGUUUUGUAUAUUUACCUUCGAGCUAACUGGGCAAAGUCAUCUUCUUCAUCUUCCUCUUCAUCAAUUUGACCUGCUGUUGGUGCAAGAACUGGUGCAGAAGGUUUUGCAUCUGCUGCUGGAGUAGGUGGCUCAACUUCAGCAGGUUUGAGGCUUGGAUCAUGCAUUUCUCUAGCUGAGAUGUUGUUGUUUGGGACUUCAGUUGGAAGUGGAGAACCAGAAGCUAUUGCGUCAUGUUUAGCCAGCACCAUUUGGAGGUUAUCAUUUAAUUCAAGACCCUGAGCCAGAAGUUCUUCAUCCCUAAACACAAACCAGAGCAACUUUUAAGAGGUGAUGAAAAUAUGCUGAUAAAGAAAGAAAAGAAAUAGCAAAUACCAGCCUAGUUAACAUUUGCGUCAAUAUCUUUCUCAUGAACACACCAUAAGAAACAAAAGAUGGAGAAUUACCCGGUGGUGGUCAACAUUUGCAUCAACUUCUUCUGGUUAGAGCGACACUGGUAGACAAGAUCAACUAUAACUUCAUCUUGUACAGCCUAUACAAAACAAAGAUAGAAAAGGAUUAAAGAGGUUCCAUUAAUGAGGUGAAUGAAGGAAGAGUGAGAGAAGUUACUUACCAAGCGAUCGCCUGGAGUCACGGCUUGUAGCAUAUCAGCCAACAGAUCAGCAACUUCCUUCAUAGAAUUUAUGCUGGACAAGCUGCAAGGUAAAAAAGUUAGGACAAAGGAUAUGAUAAAGUAAAUCAUAACAAACCAAUUUAUAUAGUGCAACAACAUCGGAUCAAUAGGCCUGACAUGGCGUACGUCAACUUACCUUAAGUUUUCCAUAUCUGCUGCCAUGGCCUCGUCAAGUCUUGUUGAGGAAUUGCUUGGCAUUCCAUAACCAGGUUGAGGUUGUCUUGGUGCAGGAUGAGUAACAGGUGGAGUAAAAAUUGGAGCUGUAUCAAAUGAACGCUUGGGAAAUUCAACGCCAGCACGCUGCAAUGAUCGUGACACAAAAAUGGUUACUAGAAAAGGAACUUCUCCAAUAAGUGUUUAAGCAUGACAUUCACUCGUUCGCCAAAUUUUCCACCCCUCCCCAUAGGAAAGAAAAACAAACGAAAGAACCUAAGGCAAAAACAUCUCAACAAUUCCAUUAAAAAUAUCAAAACACAGAAAUGAAUUGCAUAAAUCCCUUUCUCAACUGAUCAUUGGAAAAAGAGAUUAUACAUAUCAAAAGUAAUGUUUCAAGCCAACAAAUCAAUGUCAUACGAGUAUCUCAGUGGAAUUACAAGCCUAUAACUCAUAAAAGAAGAUUUUGAACUAAAACUUUAUAUCGAGUUACUAACCCUCAAUUCUUCGUAAGCCCAAUAGUACUGGGGAUACUUUCCUCCAGGGCCACCAAAUGCCUCUUGCCAAGAGUCCAGUAGUACUAGUACUUUAUCUCUAACAUGCAUAUCUGUCUGCAAAACCAUCAAAAGAGUGGCAGGAAAAAAGUUUAAACGUAAGGGUCAAGUGGACACUCAAAACUGAGAUCAAGUAAUGCACAAAUCGCAAUGACCAAAAAGCUAAUAAUCUUCAAUAAUGGUCCCAAGCAGCAUGAGAACACAUUUCUAGCUUAAAAAGGUAUUACAUUGGUAAUAAUUCUAGUUCCGUUAUAAAAAUGUGAUAACUAAAGUAUAACAAGAAAGUAUCCCAUAAUCCAUAUAUUACUAAAUCACAUAAAAAUUCAGCUUGAGACAUUCUGUGCAUCUAAUCAGAAAGAACCUGAGUACUUUGGACAGAAACUUGCCUUCUUCUUUACAAUUUUGACCAUGUCUUGCAAUAUGCUUCUUUCAGCUAUUUGAAAGUGCACAUUAUCGCCACAGUUCUUCACCAUUGUCUCCAAAAGCAGUAGGGGAAGUACAAGAAAGGAAUAGUCAUUAAAUUUAAGCGCAGCUAAACAGCCUUAAAAGAGAUUGAAUAUAAAUAGCAAGUAAAAGAAAUAGCAAGUCUGGGUUUGCGUUUUUGCUCUUUUUCGAGGGUCUUGUAACUAUCUUUAACCUUUAGGAUAAUCUUUAUGCUAAAGGUUUUUCUACUUAAUUUAUAAAACUUGUUACCUUCUCAAAAAAAAAAAAUACUAUUCUGUUGAGCUCUAUUUAUAUUGCCCUAACAUAAUUUAAUUGACUGUAAAUUAUAUAAAGGGGGAGGUUCCAACAAACUUACCGUUAAAGAAAGUAGCUGAACUUUGGGGUUCUUGUGCUGCAACCUCUUCUUCACGGCUUUUACAAC